rnacentral:rRNA from 1 species
CAGCAGCCGCGGGAAUACGGAGGGAGCUAGCGUUAUUCGGAAUUACUGGGCGUAAAGCGCACGUAGGCGGCUUUGUAAGUUAGAGGUGAAAGCCUGGAGCUCAACUCCAGAAUUGCCUUUAAGACUGCAUCGCUUGAAUCCAGGAGAGGUGAGUGGAAUUCCGAGUGUAGAGGUGAAAUUCGUAGAUAUUCGGAAGAACACCAGUGGCGAAGGCGGCUCACUGGACUGGUAUUGACGCUGAGGUGCGAAAGCGUGGGGAGCAAACAGGAUUAGAUACCCCCGUAGUCCCUGUCUCUUAUAC